rnacentral:piRNA from 1 species
CCGGGAACGGAGAGUAGAGGCCUCCA